rnacentral:rRNA from 1 species
GUGUCAGCAGCCGCGGUAAUACGAAGGGGGCUAGCGUUGCUCGGAAUGACUGGGCGUAAAGGGCGCGUAGGCGGUUUGGACAGUCAGGCGUGAAAUUCCUGGGCUUAACCUGGGGGCUGCGCUUGAUACAUCCGGACUUGAGUGAGGAAGAGGGUCGUGGAAUUCCCAGUGUAGAGGUGAAAUUCGUAGAUAUUGGGAAGAACACCGGUGGCGAAGGCGGCGACCUGGUCCUUGACUGACGCUGAGGCGCGAAAGCGUGGGGAGCAAACAGGAUUAGAAACCCUGGUAGUCC